rnacentral:rRNA from 1 species
AGUCUUCCCAGUACGAAGGACAGGAAAGCGAGGCCAAUACUACAGGCAAGCCUUCGCCUUAAGUAAUGAAUCCAACUAAAUUACGAAAGGCUAUCACACCACAACCACGUCCUAGAAAAGGACUA